AUUGAACGCUGGCGGCAGGCCUAACACAUGCAAGUCGAACGAGUGGCGGACGGGUGAGUAAUGUCUGGGAAACUGCCUGAUGGAGGGGGAUAACUACUGGAAACGGUAGCUAAUACCGCAUAACAUCCGAUGUGCCCAGAUGGGUUUAGCUAGUAGGUGGGGUAAAGGCUCACUUAGGCGACGAUCCCUAGCUGGUCUGCGAGGAUGACCAGCCACCCUGGAACUGAGACACGGUCCAGACUCCUACGGGAGGCAGCAGUGGGGAAUAUUGCACAAUGGGCGCAAGCCUGCUGCAGCCAUGCCGCGUGUAUGAAGAAGGCCUUCGGGUUGUAAAGUACUUUCAGCGGGGAGGCGUUACCCGCAGAAGAAGCACCGGCUAACUCCGUGCCAGCCGCCGCGGUAAUAC
rnacentral:rRNA from 1 species